GGACUAGAACGCUCCGGGAACUAGUAGAAUAGUGCUUUGCCUACUAAAUCUCUAAUACUGAAGUUAAAUCCAUUUGUAAAUCCAGCUUCAAUAUUAGUUGGCAAUUAAGGCAAUAGAGCUGAAAAAAAAAAAAAAAAAAGAACUCCAAAGAAACCCUCUUUCCCUCUCUGUUUUCCCAAAUUUACUUCUAAGAAUGAGCCUAUAGAUGAAAUUAUUCCCUUGGAGCUAGCUGGCACGGGCUAACCCUAUCUUCCUCAGCAGAGCUUGCACGGGGUGGCAGAUCCUCUUUUCACUUCCUAGAAGCAAGAAGGGAGCAGGCGCCCAGUUCUCAGGAGAUGAGGCUACCAGGAGAGAACAGAGAAGAAAAGACGCUCUGAAAAAGGAAAAGAUGAGAGUUCUUAUGGAAAAAUGUGCCUUGGGAAAAAUUACAAUACUACAGCAAGGAGCCAUCAGACAAGCUCAGAUUGUGAGAUGCACAGUUUUUCCAGAGUUCCAACACCUGGAGCAGAAUUAUCACUGUCCAGAUGAUGACCAAAACAAGAAUAAUCCAGCACUGUAAAGGAAAAUUUCAAGAUGUGCCUGGGUGAUUAUGCUGGCUAAUGGAAUAUAACUGGAAACGGCAUGUGUGAUUUCUGGAAAACAUCUCUAAAGGACAGGGUCUUGCUGUAUCACCCAAGGUGGAGUGCAUUGGCAUAAUCAUGGCUCACUGCAGACUUGAACUCCUGAGCGCAAGCAAUCCUCUCAUCUCAGCCUCCCAAAGUGCUGGAAUUACAGAUGUGCACCACUGCGCCAGCUUCUUUCUGGAUUAAGUUUUGGCAGAUAAGAGUGUUGGCCUCACACAGGCCGCAUCUGUCCUGGGGCUCAUUUGUCCUUCUUCAACCUCCUCCACAGUUAGAGGCUCCUGAACUACAAUGGCAAUGAUCGAAGAAACUGUUGUUGAAAAGUCCACGCCAAAUUCUCGGUAUGUCACUGAAGACAAGGACAUUUUGGGUAGAACCUGGCUGCUAAUCCACUCUUGUCAGGAGGGAAGAUUUUUUCUCUUUCUGUAGUGAGCAACAAGGCCACUCGAUGAAGAAACUGAGGUUCAUGGAAGUUAAAUAACUUGCCCACAGGGCACAACUAGUAGGCAGCUAAGCUAGGACUUCAACUGAGGUCUGUAAGACUUAAAGCACAUGCUAUUCCUGCUCCUCAAUAGCUUUCCUGCUAAGCACCAAGAGACGCUAGGCUGCCAGGAACAUCACAGCAGAGACCACCGUCAAUCAAUGCAUCUCCACCGUCUUUUAGACUUUCUUUUGAAGAAAGAUUUAGCUGCUAAAAGAAAAGAUGAAUAUACAAAAAGGAUAAUACUACCAUAUUUCAUCAUAUUGUCUCGUUUUAAUACAAGAAGACUCAUCCAGCUUAAACAUUUGAUGUUUAAGAAGCUAACCAGCAAGCUGCCCUCUGGGAAUGCAUACCAUCAGGUAUGGAUCAGUGGCCCUGAGAUCAUGUUCAUAACUCAGCAGCUUUGUACAAGCUGUCAAGACUCAGAACAUGGUACCCCAAAGUAUGGCACCUUGGUGUGCUGAGUACUGUGGACUGAAGGACAUCGGAAAUGUCUCAGAAGCUAUGUCUCUUUGACCUUCUCCCAACCUCCUGUCUCCUACCUGUCUUUCUCCCAUGAAGUGAGUCAUGGCAAUCAUAAUUCCUCUUUCCCAAGGUGUGUCACAGAAACUAGAACCCCUCUCCUCCAAGGGAAGCCGUGAAACCUAGAAAGGUCACUCUCUGCCUUCCCCCUUCUCCCUUGAAGACCCUCAUUCCAGAGGGGCCCUGCCCCAUAUUCAGGAGGGUUACACAAAGAGGUUAAGAAGAAUUUGAACAUUCAGGCCUUGCUGGGUUCCCCGCUCAGUCUAUCAGCAUUAGAUCACAUCCUUUAGUCCAUCACAUUUCUACACCGCUGUCCAUUCUUCAUCAAACCGAAGAAUAAAAAAAGUUUUCCCUGGG